UAUUUUUUCUCAACUCAAGAUUCAUUAGGAGAUACAAAUGUAGUCCCCGGAGCACGUGCUGGGGAAGCAGGGGGGCGGGGGGGGGGCGCGGGCAGAGAGGCUCUUCAGGAGAGGAAAGGUGGAGCCCAGGUGGUCUCGAUGUUGACCAUGAGUCAGUACUUGGUUUUCUGAUUAAGGCAGGAGGUGUGGGGUGAAUCUUGCCUCUUUCAGCUCCAUCCAUCUCCCCAUCCCCACAGCAGUUGAACAAAAACACCCCUUCUCUGCAGUGCUUUCCUCUUUAUAAUGGAGGAGAGGCUGCCCCAACUCCAUGGAUUCCAAAUAGGAAAGAAGAGACGUUGCGUGUGUGUGUGUGUGUGUGUGUGUGUGUGUGUGUGUGUGUGUGUGUGUGUGUGUAGCGAGCUCUAGGAUUUGAGACACAUUGAUUCCUACCCCUUUGCCGCUCACCUGCUGUGUGGUCUUGGUCAUGCUAGUGCAUGUCUUUAGACAACAACAUUCUAAGACUCUUCUAGAGGCAGAUGUUAUAAAGAAACCUCAUUGCUUUAAAAAAAAAAAAAAGCUGAAGAGAUAGCUCAGCAGUUAGUGCUCACUAUUUGCAGAGAAUCCAGGUUCGGUUCCCAGUACCCACGUGAUGCCUGAUCUUCCUGUAACUAUAGUUCGUGGGGGAUCUUAUCCCCUUUUCUGGCCUCCUUGGACUCACACAGGCAUAGAGUGCAUUUAACUACAUGCAGGGAUUUAUACACAAAUAGUCUUUUAAAAGUACAAACAUUAAGGUUGGGAAUAUAGCUCUGUGAUAGAGCACUUACCUCGCAUGCACAAAGCACUGGGUUUGAUCCCUUGCUCAUAAUCAGUCAACAAAACUGUGUAGAGCCAAGCCUUGUAAGUGCAGAAGGUAGAGGCAGGAGGGUCCUAAGUUUGAGCUAGCCUGACUACAUAGCAAGUUCUAGGAUACUCAGAGCUACAUAGUAGAUCCCAUCUCAAAAACAAAACAAAGAACAACAACAAAACCAAACCAGAAG
rnacentral:lncRNA from 1 species